AAUGCACUUUACAACUGUGUGCAUUUUAUUCGUGAGAAGGCUGUAUAAGUGUAGUCACAUAGGUAUACAUAAAAGGAUAUAGAAUUUAUAUAAAAUGGCUGUUAUUUUCAUAAUCAUCGUAUAUUUGGCUGUAAAUACUGCUUUAACGAAAGGAGAUUCUGACAGAAGCCAUCAUUAUGAUGACAUCAGCAAUCGUGUUAAAGAUGAUUCUAUUGUCAAUAUCGAUAUGUAUGCUACAAUAGAACAGAUGAAUUGCUCAAAACAUUGCAUUAGAUGUGAUAUUCACGGAGAAUGCAUAGGAUGUGAAGUUGGUUUCUACGGUUCCACUUGCGAAUCGAGAUGCUUAUUGGACUGUGGUGUCAGAGGCUGCCAACAGAAUACUGGAAAAUGUAACGGCACACCAGCUGGAUCAUGGGGUAACAUACCAAUUUAUAUAGGCGCUGGUGUAGGUGGAGGAAUAUUAGUGCUGCUACUUACUGCAUGCGUCUGCAGAUGUACAAUUAAAAGAUCUAGGUACUCAAGAAUUUGAUUAAACAACAGUUUUGCCAGAAGAGUAAACACAUGACAUUAUCAGUAUUUUGAUUGUUAGACACUACUGUAUUGUUAAUACCAAUACAGAUAAUGAGUAUUUACGAAGUGGAAUAAACUUUUGUAUAGUGAUGUAAUAAUUAUAAUGCUUAAAUAAAAUAUGAAAAUA